rnacentral:rRNA from 1 species
GGUUUAAUUUCGAUGCAACGCGAAAAACCUUACCACUUCUUGACAUGGAGGCUAGAUCCUUCUUAACAGAAGGGCGCAGUUCGGCUGGGCCUCGCACAGGUGCUGCAUGGCUGUCGUCAGCUCGUGUCGUGAGAUGUUGGGUUAAGUCCCGCAACGAGCGCAACCCUCAUCCUUAGUUACCAGCGGGUAAUGCCGGGCACUUUAAGGAAACUGCCAGUGAUAAACUGGAGGAAGGUGGGGAUGAUGUCAAGUCAGCACGGCCCUUAUGGGGUGGGCUACACACGUGCUACAAUGGCGACUACAAUAGGUUGCAACGUCGCAAGGCUGAGCUAAUCCGUAAAAGUCGUCUCAGUUCGGAUUGUCCUCUGUAACUCGAGGGCAUGAAGUCGGAAUCGCUAGUAAUCGUGGAUCAGCAUGCCACAGGUUGAAUAC